UACGUAGGCAGCAAGCGUUGUUCGGAAUUACUGGGCGUAAAGAGUGUGUAGGCGGUGCUCCAAGUCUGGUGUGAAAUCUCCCGGCUUAACUGGGAGGGUGCAUUAGAAACUGGAAUGCUAGAGGAUGGGAGAGGUAAGCGAAAUUCCUGGUGUAGCGGUGAAAUGCGUAGAUAUCAGGAGGAACACCUGUGGUGUAGACAGCUUACUGGACCAUUUCUGACGCUGAGACACGAAGGCGUGGGUAGCAAACAGG
rnacentral:rRNA from 1 species